ensembl:lncRNA
GGGAGAUGUUUAAAGGGUACAAACUUUCAGUUUUCAGAUGAAUAAGUUCUGAGGAUCUAGUGUACAGCACGGUGAGGCUAGUUAAUGUAGGGGAGGAAGACAUUUCCUCUUCCCAAAUGUGGGUUCGUCUGGCCGGAGAACGAAUUAAAUUCACCUGAGACAGAAUAGCAAGAGAAAAUUAAACAAAGCUUUAUGAGGAGCCAUGGCCCGGGGCCUUUCUUCCCGAAGGAAGAAAGGGCACCGAAGAAGUGGGGUGCACAGAGUGGUUCUAUAUCCCCCAAACAGGGUGUUUCACGUAUGAUUGAAAUGUCCCUUUUACAACAGUCACGAGCCUGCUCUGUCAGCACAGCCCUUGAUGGAGGCAGAUAGGUCUGCUGUCUCAGUGAACGCUGCGGGGUGGCAGGUGUGUUGCCUCGGGCUGGGGGAUCACAGAUGAGCGCAGCAAUCAGUUCCUUGCCUACAGAGAGGGAGGCACCUUUACAGAUAGAGAUUUACCUUACAGAUGUAAAUGUGUCCUAACAAAGGGCAAGUUCCACUCCUCAGAGCCUCCUUCCCUGUCCCACUUUAUCAAAAGCAAUCAGCCUCAAAUAAUCCUGAUGCCAAAGAGACAUAUCUUGGGGUGGCCAAUUUCAGGUCCCUGCAGUCCCGCCUUUGAAACUAAAAGUUUCACAAUCCAGAAGCUGAGUGGUAGAUUGUUUCAUCUCACUGAACACAUUUCUUAGUCCUGGUAAUAGAUCAGUCCAGUUAAAUUCAUUUUAGAAGGUGGCAACGCAGGUGGGCUCCCAAAGUUAGGCCUUUAUUUUGGAAGCAAGCAAUCAGGCUGAAAUUUCCCUGGCUUAACACUGCUUGCUCCUAGACUGCUGCGGCUGAGAGAUCCCAGACCCCUGACGAGAGCCGGCAAGAGAAAUACUUCUUAAACACCUGAUUGCUUGCUUCCAAAAUAAAGGGCUAACUUUGGGAGCCCACCUGCGUCGCCACCUUCUAAAAUGAAUUUAACUGGACUGAUCUAUUACCAGGACUAAGAAAUGUGUUCAGUGAGAUGAAACAAUCUACCACUCAGCUUCUGGAUUGUGAAACUUUUAGUUUCAAAGGCGGGACUGCAGGGACCUGAAAUUGGCCACCCCAAGAUAUGUCUCUUUGGCAUCAGGAUUAUUUGAGGCUGAUUGCUUUUGAUAAAGUGGGACAGGGAAGGAGGCUCUGAGGAGUGGAACUUGCCCUUUGUUAGGACACAUUUACAUCUGUAAGGUAAAUCUCUAUCUGUAAAGGUGCCUCCCUCUCUGUAGGCAAGGAACUGAUUGCUGCGCUCAUCUGUGAUCCCCCAGCCCGAGGCAACACACCUGCCACCCCGCAGCGUUCACUGAGACAGCAGACCUAUCUGCCUCCAUCAAGGGCUGUGCUGACAGAGCAGGCUCGUGACUGUUGUAAAAGGGACAUUUCAAUCAUACGUGAAACACCCUGUUUGGGGAUAUAUAACCACUCUGUGCACCCCACUUCUUCGGUGCCCUUUCUUCCUUCGGGAAGAAAGGCCCCGGGCCAUGGUUCCUCAUUAAGCUUUGUUUAAUUUUCUCUUGCUAUUCUGUCUCAGGUGAAUUUAAUUCGUUCUCCGGCCAGACGAACCCACAUUUGGGAAGAGGAAAUGUCUUCCUCCCCUACAUUAACUAGCCUCACCAUGCUGUACACUAGAUCCUCAGAACUUAUUCAUCUGAAAACUGAAAGUUUGUACCCUUUAAACAUCUCCCCCUGUCCCCUGAAAACAACCACUCUUAUCUCUGUUUCUACAAGUUUCAUGUUUCCAGAGCCACAUAGGGGACACUAAGUCUUCACGAGCCACAGCGUGUGAUUAAGUACAACAAUUUCAGCCCAUGUGCUUUUGUAUGUGCUCCUCCCUUCUGCAGGCCUCUGACCUGGUUCUGGAUUACAUUCUCUCUCAGUUGGACACUCCGAUAGCCUCCUUCCUCCUUUUCCUGCUUUCAAUUUCUCCUUCAUUCUGCACAGAAACACCAACUUUCUGGAGUACAACUUGAUCAUACCACUCCCCUGCUUAGAAACCCUCACUACUACUCACUAUCUUUGAAUGAAAUCUUCAUCUCCAGGUCUGGCAUCUAAGAUCCUCCUGGAUCUGGUCCCAUCUUCUACCGUUUGAUAUUCUUCUUAAUAGUCCUUACAUUUUAUACAAAGCAAACUCCUUGCCUUGAGCUUCAUACAUAACUUUGCUUGGCUAACCUGCACCUUUGCCAGAGAGGGCGCUCUAUUUCAUCCCUUUGUAUACAAACUGCGCUUGAUCUCUAAUGAUCAGUCCCAUAUUACCAGAGACUUCCUGAUCACCUUAUGGGAAGGAACCUCCUUUCUCUGAAUGCCCACGUAGCACACCCUAAUGGCAUUUAUCACCUCCCAUCUUGGAUUUAGUUAUUUAUGUACAUUUAUUUAUUUACUUAUUGCCUCAAAAAAAGUGUUGAACAGAAUUGCACAAGAUGCUGGGGAUAAAAAGGGAAUAUAGUCUACUGGUGAGAUAGUAACAAGCCCUCGAUUGAAAAAAUACAAUAUAUCAAAUAUGAUACUGGAUGUUAAUGAACUCUAAGUGAUCAGAUAAAGGUUGGCUUAGAUCUGUCUGUGGAGUCUCAGAGGAGUGGAGUGGAGUUCCAACGUAAAAUAUGUUUAGGCAUUAAUUAGCCAGUUGGACAAGACGGGGAGUUGGGAGGGGGUGAGGUAGGUAAAGGAGAGGCAGACAGCUCAGAUGGAGGGCAUGGCCACAGGAGAAAUCACAUUUGAGGAAGGCACAUUGUUGACUCUGACAAGAUAGGGUAUGCUGAGAGAAUAGCAACUGAAGGAGAAGACACUGGUCAGGUAGACAAGGAUCAGGUUUUGCUUUGCUAAGAAGUUUGGAGUUCAGUCUGUUAGCAAGCAUGCUGAAAAUGUCUAAUCAAGGGAAUUGCAAGAUUGGACUGUGGGUUAGACCCAGGUGGUGAAGUGGAAUCCUCCAGAGACACAGAGAAACUUUAAGCAACCUGGUGGAGGUUACACAUCUGAUCCAUCUUUGUAUUCCCUGACUGCGCCCAGCACAGUGCCAGGCACGUGGGUUAUAUACAAAUUGUAUUUGUUAACAAGUGAAAGAAAAUGAGAUCUCCACUUUCAGACUAAAACACAAACAGAAGUUUAUUAGCUUUAAGCUUCGCACUUCACCUGCAUUAUUCAGAUCACACAAGUAUAGGGCAUCUUCUAGCUUCCUGAACCUUUUGAUCCAUGUCUCCGAUUCUUCAGACUCGUUCUUCAUCACUGGGUUCAGGAAAGGCUGUGAGACUGGCCUGAUUUUCAAAGAGCUUGGGGGAUCUUUGGAGGCUGAAGUCUCAGCAGUAGGGUUUUCUGGCUGCAGAUCCUCUUCUAGAGUUUUCUACCAAAACAACAUAACUAUCUCACUGGCAACACAUUCACCACCUAGAUCUUCUCCAGUCUCUUGGCCAAAGAUGAGGCCAUACAGCUAGCGAGAUUUACUGUAAUGUCUGGCUUUGUAAAGCUUGGAGGAUGGGUUUCAAGUCCUGAGUGCUAUAGGACUACAUCUGUGAAGCCUUCCAGGAUGUAAAUUACUGUGUUGAAUGCUUUCUAUGUUUUUAAGAGAAGGGUGAAAUCAUGACUUUAAUCAGUUUGCAUUUCUGAUUUGCACAAAGAAAAGGUUUUUGUAACUGGUUGAGACUUUUCUUGAUGUUCUAUACUAGUGGGAUUCAUGGAGGAGGGUCUUCAGGAAUUGCUUAUAACUUCUCCACGGAAACACCUCUGGACAAUGAGCCUGAGGUUCUUGACAAAGAAUGACUGAAAGAAUAGUGACAUUGUCUUAGGCUCAUGGGCUCCUUGUAAUGGACCAUAAAGAACUUCUAGUUCUGUCUGUCCUGUUAAUUUAACUAAGGAAGACGAGGCCCAGAGAGUGGAAGUGACUUACUGAGAUCAGGCAGUGAAUGGUAGACACAGAACUAUAAGGAGAUGUAGAGGUUAUGUCUAGCUCAGUUUGGUAUCCUAAUCUCAUGUCUACUGCAAAAUAGAGAUGUUUUUAGAAUAAUGGACAACCUAGUCCCGGCAGCCAUGACAGGCAUUCUGUCACCUACCAUGUACAGAGUGGCAUCCAUUGUUUGAUCUUCACAACUUCAUUUUUCCAGGAAUUUUCUCUCCUGCCGAGCCAUAUGGUUAGGGAGAGAACAGCCAUAUCUAAGUGUACAGUGCAGGACUGGGUAUCUAAUGCAAAGGGACCAAUGCACUCAUUGUUCAGUGAUUUUGGAACGAUUUGUGAGAGAUGAAGACAGAGGGAUAUACAAACAGAGAUCAUUCUGUGUGAGAGGUAGGAACUCUCACAGGUUUUACACACUGUGUACUGGAAAUGAGAAAAGGCUGAUCUGUCCAGAAAGAUAGAGACGGACAGAGAGAGAGAGAGAGGGAGAAUGAAGCUAACAGCAGAGAGAAGAGAAAAGAUAUGGGACGUCAUGAUGAAGUUCAAGUCCCUGAUUUUACUUCACUGUUACUUGUUACAUUUCUAACCUUAGGUAGCAUAAUACGCUUCUCUCUCCUUCCAAUAAAUUUAGUAGAGUUUCUUCUCUUAAUUUCAAUCCAAAUAAUCUUAACUAACUCACCAUAGAAUUAUGACUCUAACUUUUGAAAAUCAUCUGUGCUUCCCCCAACAUUCAAAUACCUCUAUUUCUCCAAUAUAGUACCUUUGUCUCAAACUUCUCACAUAGAAAGUAUGAAAAUCCCAUAGGUCUAAAGAAUAGUAAUUGAGAUUAGAAGUCCAGUUUUAGUUGGUUAACAAACAUGGAUUAACCUGCUGCUGGGAAAUGUGAAGAAUUGUUUUGUUUGAAAUAAUAGAAUGGUACAUGAUAUGGUACCCACAUGGAUAACAAGCAACCAGUAAAUUUUAAGAGAUUGAUAUAAAAGAAUUCUACUUGGAUAAAAUCAACUUUGGGAAGGGCUGAAAGUUUUCAUAAAAUAAACAGAGUAGUGAUUCUUAUACUUUUUAGAGCUUUAGAUCACUUGAGAAAUCCAACGAAGGCUUUAGAUAAUCUACCCAGGCAAAUGCACAUUUGCAUGCAGGAUGACUUUAGACAGUUCAAAGAGGUCCUUGGAUCUGAAAAAGUGAUUUUAAUAAUUUUAUAUUUCUUCAGAUAGAUCAACACUCUCUUUGACCACUAAAGACAGGGAAAGGGGGAAUUUGUAUGAACCUGAAUUAGGCUGAACUAAGUAAGUGAGUGAGUACUAACACACUCUAUACUGUUUUCGUCCCACUGUGUCAGGAGGAAGUCCACGUCCCGUGAUUGGCAUGUAAGACUGUUCUCGUUCUCGUUCUUGCCUAUCUUCUUUCAAUCCCACAUAUACAUCUUUUUCUCCAACCACCUAAAACCAGAAAACACGAAGCUGUUUUGUGCCUUGUGCAUGCUGCUCCCUCUGCUGUAAAAGCCCUUCUUGCCACUCAGGCCUUGGAUGGUUGGGGUCCUACUCAUCCUUCAAGAUUUGACUCAUAUUUCACUUCUUGUGGGAAGCCUUCUCUUACAGACAAGCUGGCUGAGGGGCGAUUCUUUGUGGCCCCUUUAUCCACCUCGGCACUUAUCGUGGAAUGUUGUAAUCAUUUAUUGACUCUCUCUUCUACCAGAGAUCUGGAGACUGGCCUGUGAGAUAGUCAUUUAUGUAUCCUCAAGGUCUGGUUAGUGACCAGGGCAUAGCUGGUUCUCAAGACAUGGUUACUGAAUGAACAAGUGAAUGAAUGAGUGAGUUUCUCCGGGAUCAUAAGAAAGUUGCUUUACCACACCUCUGCUUCAAUUCCCCCUUCUAAAAAGUGGGACAAUGAAUGCUACUUAUGCAGGAAUGUGACACAAAUCAAUUACUGCAGAGAUGCCAUAAAAUCCUCAAAACAGAGGCAAAAUAAAAGAGCAAGGUGUAUUUUUUUUAUAAUCUGAUUCACAAUAGAUGAUACUCAAGGAGAAAAGCAUCUGCGGUUGUUUCUGGCAUGGCAAGAGGCUUGCCAAAAUUGACAUGAUUUUCUAAGACAUUUUGAAGUGUGAAGUGCAUGAAGAGGCCUCCUGCCAUUUUGAGAUGAAUUAUGGUCUAAUCUGGGCAUUUAAAUAAAAACAACGACAGAAAACCUCAGGAUGCUUUUCAAUUCUGUCUGCAUCUUUUCCUGGCUAAGUGCUGGGAAUAUUAAAAUGUAAUUUAACUGCUUGCAAGAUUUUGUUUGCAAAAUCAAAGAGCCCAUUACAUUUUAAAAUGUGGUGUCUGGGGAAAAGGUCACCCUCAGUCUCUGGAAGCUGAAUUUAAGAUGUUGAAAUAGGGGGCUGGCCCUGUGGCCAAGUGGUUAAGUUCGUGCGCUCCACUGCAGGUGGCCCAGUGUUUCGUUGGUUCGAAUCCUGGGUGCGGACAUGGCACUGCUCAUCAAACCUUGCUGAGGCAGCAUCCCACAUGCCACAUCUAGAAGGACUCACAAGUAAAAUAUACAACUAUGUACUGGGGGGCUUUGGGGAGAAAAAGGAAAAAAAUAAAAUCUUUAAAAAAAAAUGUUGAAAUAGGUCUCAGAACCACCCUUUAUUUUGAUGGCAGUGGGAGGAUUGGUCACAGGCUUCAGAACCAUUGCACAUGCUACAGGUCCAAUUUCUUGCGGCAGGUGCCAAGCCCAUGACCAGGUUGUGGAGAGAGUUCCAGAUAAGCAGAGACAAGAGCCUGUAGAACUGCCCUGAAUCAGGAGGACUUGCACAGUUUGAGGAGUGGGCAGCAGCUUCCUCCCAUGGCCCUACCUCUUAACAGAAAACCAGGAAUUUCUGCCCCCUCUCUCCACACAGGUGUAUGCCUCAAAGAUCAGGCAAAACCUCUCUCUUCCACUUUCCCUCUCCUAUCAAUAGUCAGAGGGUCUGAAUGGGAUGAGGUUUG